rnacentral:rRNA from 1 species
AUUGAACGCUGGCGGCAUGCUUUACACAUGCAAGUCGAACGGUAACAGGGUGCUUGCACCGCUGACGAGUGGCGAACGGGUGAGUAAUGCGUCGGAACGUGCCGAGUAGUGGGGGAUAACGCAGCGAAAGUUGUGCUAAUAACGCAUACGUACUGAGGUAGAAAGUGGGGGACCUUCGGGCCUCACGCUAUUUGAGCGGCCGACGUCUGAUUAGCUAGUAGGUGAGGUAAAGGCUCACCUAGGCGACGAUCAGUAGCGGGUCUGAGAGGAUGAUCCGCCACACUGGGACUGAGACACGGCCCAGACUCCUACGGGAGGCAGCAGUGGGGAAUUUUGGACAAUGGGCGAAAGCCUGAUCCAGCCAUGCCGCGUGUCUGAAGAAGGCCUUCAGGUUGUAAAGGACUUUUGUCAGGGAGGAAAUCCCUAGUGCUAAUAACACUGGGGGAUGACAGUACCUGAAGAAUAAGCACCGGCUAACUACGUGCCAGCAGCCGCAGUAA